rnacentral:rRNA from 1 species
CAAUAGAUACCCCCGGGUAGUCCAUGCCGUAAACGAUGUCUACUAGCCGUUGGGGCCUUUGAGGCUUUAGUGGCGCAGCUAACGCGAUAAGUAGACCGCCUGGGGAGUACGGUCGCAAGACUAAAACUCAAAUGAAUUGACGGGGGCCCGCACAAGCGGUGGAGCAUGUGGUUUAAUUCGAUGCAACGCGAAGAACCUUACCUGGUCUUGACAUAGUAAGAACUUUCCAGAGAUGGAUUGGUGCCUUCGGGAACUUACAUACAGGUGCUGCAUGGCUGUCGUCAGCUCGUGUCGUGAGAUGUUGGGUUAAGUCCCGCAACGAGCGCAACCCUUUUCCUUAUUUGCCAGCGGGUUAAGCCGGGAACUUUAAGGAUACUGCCAGUGACAAACUGGAGGAAGGCGGGGACGACGUCAAGUCAUCAUGGCCCUUACGACCAGGGCUACACACGUGCUACAAUGGUCGGUACAAAGGGUUGCUACCUCGCGAGAGGAUGCUAAUCUCAAAAGCGAUCGUAGUCGGAUUGGAGUCUGCAACUCGACUC